GGAGGUGUGGUUCAGGUGGUAGAGCACCUGCUUAGCAAGCAUGAGGCUCUGAGUUCAAAUCCCAGUAUUGCAA
rnacentral:tRNA from 1 species